UACAGAGGGUGCGAGCGUUUAAUCGGAAUUACUGGGCGUAAAGCGCACGUAGGUGGCGACGUAAGUCGGGUGUGAAAGCCCCGGGCUCAACCUGGGAAUUGCAUUCGAGACUGCAUAGCUAGGAUGCGGAAGAGGGAAGCGGAAUUUCCGGUGUAGCGGUGAAAUGCGUAGAUAUCGGAAGGAACACCAGUGGCGAAAGCGGCUUCCUGGUCCAGCAUCGACGUUCAGGCACGAAAGCGUGGGGGAGCAAACAGG
rnacentral:rRNA from 1 species